rnacentral:rRNA from 1 species
AUGGCCAUGCCUCCCAUUAGUUUGUUGGUAAGGUAACGGCUUACCAAGACUACGAUGGGUAGGGGCCCUGAGAGGGGGAUCCCCCACACUGGUACUGAGACACGGACCUUACUCCUACGGGAGGCACCAGUGAGGAAUAUUGGACAAUGGAGAAGACUCUGAUCCAGCCAUGCCGCGUGCAGGAAAAAUGCCCUAUGGGUAGUAAACUGCUUUUAUACGGGAAGAAAAAGAGCUACGUGUACCUUACUGACGGUACCGUAAGAAUAAGGACCGGCUAACUCCGUGCCAGCAGCCGCGGUAAUACGGAGGGUCCGAGCGUUAUCCGGAAUUAUUGGGUUUAAAGGGUCCGUAGGCGGGCCGAUAAGUCAGGGGUGAAAGUCUGCCGCUCAACGGUAGAACUGCCUUUGAUACUGUCGGUCUUGA